GGAAGGCAAUAUUCUCUUCAGUCAAGGAAGCUAAAUCCAAAUGCCUGGCUUCUAAGCUAAAAGAAAAAUGGGUAGUUAAUCCAGAAGAGACCAAACUAAGUAUUUUAUGUGAGUUGGAGGAUGAAGAGGAGGAGCUAUCACCCACAUGUGAAUUUUGCGGAAGCAAUCUCCAGGCAUUUCUUUCUAGUGUGGAUUGCAUUUACUCUGAAUCAAAAGCAUGUACUUCCUGUUGUCCUCAAUUCCAAAAUCUGAUUGACUGUAUCUAUGAAGAAAAACAAAAAAUCAAAAGCUCUAAACCUGAAUUAAUCAGUAUUAAACCUCACAAAGCCUAUGGCGCUGAAGUUGAUAGAAUGAAAGCAAAAGCAAAAGCCCUGCGGAGAAAACAGGAGCGACAAAUUGCCAGACAUCUCACUGUGGUGCGAAAUGAACAGAUGAAUUUACCUGUAGAAGAUUCAAAGAAUUUCAGAACUAUUUCUUAUCAACUUUCUGUGGAUAUUCCAGAAAAAAAGCCAACUGAUGAGGAACCAUUUUAUUUCCAACUAAUACAGAGUAACAUAUCCAUUGUUUGUUGUGAUUCUAGGAAAGCAUGCGGAAAGGUAACUCAUUUGUAAUUUUUUAUUUGCUCUUUUACAAAAAUCAGUUUUACCUGAAAUUUAAAAAGCUUUCAUGAGGGCUGGGGAUUUAGCUCAACUGUGCUGCUGCCUGCCUUGUAAGCCCAAGGUCCUGAGUUCUAUCCCCA
rnacentral:lncRNA from 1 species